rnacentral:lncRNA from 1 species
UUUCCUUUAACUUAAACAUAUUUGUGAUGAAUUACUUCAUUAUGGAAUAGUUCUCUUUUGGCAUUGGUGGAUUUGGUGUAUUGAUAUUUGUUUGUGGAUAUUAACUCUAACUUUAUGUAUUGAAUCAUUUUGGAUAUUUUAAUCAUUACAUCUAUAUUCAUUUGCUCGUGUAAUCGAGAGAGGCAUAACUUGUGAUAUUUCUACCAUUCUAAUUUGUUGGUUGAAUUUAUUAGUUCUUCUUACUAAUUGAAAGAGGUCAGUUGAACUUUUUUAUUAAACCUAGUUAGGAGGAUAUCGAGAGAGGUUCUUCUAAAGACCAGUUCAGUACGAAUUCUUGCAUGUCUAGAUUGGUUCAUCUUGUGAAGUAGAGACUUAAUCGAGAGAUGAGUUUCUACUAAACAUUUGAACAAAUAAUCAACUGAAUUCGAUUAUGUUACGUGAACACUAGACAUGAAUUACCAAGAGUUAGAUCCCAACAAUUAUCAUGCGUCUAUCCUAUAAAAACUCUAUCUUUUCCCAAUUGAUAACCUUUUUUGCUCAUUACUUGCAUCGAUUAUCAUUAGCCAAUAGUUUAAACUCUUAGUUAAUUUUAGUCUUAAUCAUAAAAUUCUCAAUUGUUGAUCAUCUUUAAUAGCUAUCUAGCUACAAACUACGAUGAUAUUUUUAACUCCAAUCCACGUGGAUACAAUAUUAUAUUUUACUAUAUUCGACUAGCGAGCUAUUUAAGUAUGUGUUUUUCUCUCGUUAGCAUGUUCGUGAGGUAUUCUCUAAUCAUCAGAGUCUACGGUAUUUAUUCAAUCAAAAUGAUCUUAACUUGAGGCAACGGAGGUGGUUGGAACUAUUGAAAGACAAUGAUAUCACCAUUUUUUACCGUUCUAAGAAGAAAGAUAUGGCGGUCGAUGCCCUGAGUAGAAAGGUUGUGAUUAUGGCCAUCCUUUCUUAUAUUCUAGUUGGUGAGAGACCGCCAGUAUAAGAUUUGUAGAUGUUGCCCAAUCAGUUCAUGAGGUUAGAUGUUUUGGAGCCUAUUCGGGUUCUAGCUUGCACGGUCUCUCGGUCUUGUUUGUCUGAGCGCAUUAGAGAGCCUCAGUAUGACGACCCCCAUUUUCUUGUCCUUUAGGACAUGAUACAACACGAUGAUGCCAAGAUGGUUACUAUUGGAUAUGGUGGGGCAUUGCGGAUGCAGGGUCAGAUUUGUUUGCCCAAUGUGGAUAAGCUUUAUGAGUUGAUUCAUGAGGUGGCCCACAGUUUGCGGUAUUCCAUUCAUCCAGGUACUGCCAAGAUGUAUCUAGAUUUUAGACAACGUUAUUGAUGGAGAAGAGUGAAGAAGGAUAUAGUUGCAUAUGAGGCUCGAUGUUUGAAUUGCCAGCAGGUAAAGUAUGAGCAUCAGAGACCUGGCGAUUUGCUUUAGAGGCUGGAGAUUCCCGAGUUCUCCUAUUUAAUUUCUCAACUCUACUGGGGCUAUACGAUAUGGUGGAAUAUAAAUGGUCUGUGUUUCCAAUAAUAAGUCAAUACUAAGAUCAAUAUUCCUAUCAGGAUAUAUGCCCGGAAGGUCUGCCAGAAAUAUAUCUAAAUAGUCCCUCACUACCAGAACUUACCCAACCAUAGAAGUAUCAACAUUGACAUCUCUCACAAAGGCUAGAUAUGCAUCACACUCCUUCCCAACCAUCCAAUGUGCUUUAAGGAAAGACACCACCAUACUAGGAACAUAAUCCAAAGUACCCCGUCCACUCCAAUCAUGCUAAACUCGGUAUAGCCAAUCUUAUAGUCUUGGCGUGACAAUCAAGAAUCGCAUGAUAAGGUGACAACCAUCCCAUCCCAAGAAAAGUCUACCAUACUGAGCAACAAUAGAUAACCUAUGAUCACAAAACCACCAGUAACAACUAAACACGACCAAUACACACGGUCAAUAUUAAUGGUAUCUCCUAUAGGCAUGGACAUAUAAAUAGGAGAACUCAAAAAAAAUAAUAUAUACCCAAAUAUGGAGAAACAUAUGAUGAUACGUAGGAAUAAGUGGAGCCUAGAUCAAAUAAUAUUGGUCAAUCUCUAUGACAAACUGAAAACAGUAACUUUGAUAACUGCAUCUAAUGCAACCGUCUCCAUCCUACCCGAAAAAGCAUAAAAUCUGGCCUAGCCUUCCCCUCUAGGACGACCCUUGCCCGUCGUAUCUCCGCUCUUAGGUGGUUGUGCAGGUAGAGCGACAACUAGAGAGCUAACCAUAGCCUGAGAAGUCUGGGGACCCUGUGAAAUAUAUGGAGCUUGAGUAGUUUGUGAAGGUGCACCUUUCCUGAGUCUAGGGUAGUCCCUCACUAUGUGAUAUCACCACACUCAAAACAAGCUCUCGAGAAAUGUGGCUGUUAAAAAUAGCUUGGGCCUGGUAGGCUAGACUAACCUUUGAAAGCAACCCAUGUAGAAGGUGCACUAGAUAGUGACGGUGCAUAAUAGCCAGCCUGAGACCUAGAAGUAGCCAGAGUACCACUAGAAGUUAGAAGUGCUGAAUAAGCUAGAUGACUAACACAAAAUCUACCAUGACGGUUUACAACAUAGGUAACCCUUCUUAUAAGCCCACCAAUACUGGUACACUAUUCCCGACUAUUGGAAUAUAGUAAAAAAAACCACUCGUCUCUAAAAUACCCAUGGUGCAGAGGAUACGGUGGCACUUCUCUAGAAAGCCAUGUGCUUCCACUGUAGCUAGGUCGUUGAUAAGGAGGGUGGUACUUCUUGUGCCUCUCAAGUCUAAGCUGCCCCUCCUAAAAAGUUGAUGCCCUAACCUUAGGCUAAGAUAGAACAAUCGACUACACUGGUAUAACCUUUGGGACCUAGUCAAAAUGGACAUAUUGCUCCGGGAUAUAGGCAAGAGGGAGUCUGAGCUUCUCCACCGACCUUGAGAUUUAGAUGGUUCAAGUGGAAUCAACCCUGUCUGAGUUAGAGUACCAAACAUGCUCAGGAUUUGUGUGAGGGUGUCCUGAAGUGCAAGGGUGGAAACAGGCACCUCAGGUGUCUGACCCUCAACUGGAGCAACUGGUGUCUCCUCUAUCGCAGCUUGGGUAGGAGCUCUGGCUGCACCACGCGCCCCUCCUUGGCCUCUGCCCCGAAUUCUCGUGGUUCUAGCAGGGGGUGCGGAUGUUUGAUCGUCAGAUCCAUCGGUGCGUGUCCUCAACAUAUGUGAGAAAAUAGAAAGAAAAAGCUUCAAAAUUUUGAAGUUAACAAAUUCACACAAUAAGGAAUUAAAGAAGUGAAUUUUUUCUAGCAGUUCCAAAGCCUCUCGAACAGAUGUACAGACACAUAUGUACCGUUCAGCGAAUACUCUACUAAACCUGCUUAUGAUUGGUAUCACCUUGAGCCUAGAGCUAUAAUACUAACUUGUCACGACCCUAAUAUCCCUCCGUAGGAUGCUGUGAUUGCACCUAGUUUAUAAGGCUAGGUAAGCGUCACAUACAUGAAGAAUCAGCAGAAAUAAUAAUAAAACAUCCAAUUAAGCUAAUAGCUAUCAUAAGAAGGACUAAACAAUAUAAUUGAAUAUAACACUUAAAAUCUAGUGAGACCGAGUCAUAACCUCUACACGAGUAUAUUGAAUCAUCCCUAAUGCAUCAAUACCUAUAAUAGGAAUAAGCAAUAGAAACCAAGAUAGAGGAUGACUCGGAGGCCUGCGAACGCUGGCAUUUAUACCUUGAAAUUUCCAAUCCAAACUUAACUCAUGGAUUCCUAGUCUGGUAUGAAGUAAUUGAAUCUGCAUAAAAAUAUGUGCAGAAGCAUAAUAUGAGUGGACCACAAUUGUACCCAGUAAAUAUCAAACCUAACCUCCAUAGAGUACUGAUGAGAUCAGGUCAAGACACAUAUUGGAAUAUAUAAAAAAGAUGAACAUGUAUGGUACAAUAUAAUGAUGGAAACAAGGAAUGAAACAAUGAAGAAUUACAACAAGAUAAGCUUUACCGAAAGUUAAGGCAAUAAAGCAUCAAGGGUGGAAACACAUAAUAAGAACACCAAGGAAACUAUGUGAUGAAAAUACAAUUAAUGUGAAUGAAAGAUAGCAACAAGAAUCUUGUCUGAGGUACCGCCUCGUAUCUCAUUUCAAAAUCACAAUAAAAAUCUUUCCUUAUAUCACCGUGUGAGCCUUACAUUUAGUUUUUAAAAAUUAUUUUUCGAAAUACCUACUCGUGUUUUCGCAUACCUUAUCACACUGCAUGUCUUUAAGUAGUUUCCCAACUAGAAACACUCGUAUCAAGCCCAAAUUAUCUCACUGUAUGUGUAUCAACCUCUAUUUUUAUACCACCACAUGCGUAUCAAAAUCACAAAAAAUCACAAAUUAAACCUCAAAUGUCCAAUACCGCAACGUUCCAAGGAAGUCAACAAUAACAGUGUUCCCACAAUAAAUAACUCAUGGCUCAACCACAAUAUAUAUAAAAGUCUCAACAACAACAACCGAAAGUGAAUACUCAAUGGGAAUGGUAUUUCGAUUGGUGAAGCUUUCACUCUUCAUAUCAAAUACAAACAACCAAGUAAAAAAUCAAAAGAAUUUUAAUCUUGAAUUUGAGUAAAUAAUCACACAGAUUUUAAUCUCAAAGAAUGAGUAGAAAGUCAAGAAGAUAUUAAUCUCAAAUAAGGACUAAAAAUCAAAAAGUUGUAUUCUCCAAAAUAGGAGUAAAAAUUACUAAAAUUGAAUCUCCCACAUGUAGAUAUAAAAUGAACACAAAAAUAUAAUUAAAUUUUAAGCUUGUGAAAAAAAAAUGUUUUCAUAAAUGAUAAUUCAGAGAAUCAAACACAUAUAUUAACACAAUGUAUAAAAUACAAAAUAUUUCAAUUUCAUAAUUUUCUUGUGUAUUCUUAAGAAAUUUAAUACCCUUAAUGUUGUCCGAGAUAUUUGGAUUAGUUUCUCCCAAAAUAGAGCAGAAAAUUAUUAUAUAUAGUGGUAAUGCAAAUUAUAAAACUUAUGAGAAUAUAAAUGACAGAGCAAAUAUCACAUUGGCACUUAUAGUUUACUUUUGAAAACUAUGCAGAAACAAAAAGAAGAGAGAAAAGUGUUUUUUAAUUUUCGGUACUAAAAAUAAGGUAAAUCCUCUAAAUUUAUAGCCAAUAUGUUGGAGCUUCAACAGGUGCAAAAACGCCUGUUCAUGGAAAAGGUGUCUCUUACGUGGAAGAAAUAAUUAAAUUUCCGUUAAAUGCUAUUUGGUCGCAAAUUACUGUUGGAAAAGAAAUCGGAAAUUUUUUAAGUUAAGAUUCUGGGAGAAAAUAUAUCAAAAAAAAAAAAAAACUAGUAAUAGAAAAAGGAUAGAUAAAUUUGGUUCAAGAAUUAUGUUAACCAAUUAAUCAAAUCCAUAUCAAAAGUCGAGCGAGCAACGGCAACGCUGCCGGAAGACUUGCUUCUUUCUCAAUUUCUUUUGAAACUCGAAAAAGUAAUUCCGCAUAUAAGCACAGCAAUAUUCCUAUCCAUUUCCAAUACCAAACAAAAUUUCUUUGUAAAAGGAAUUAUUUCAAAUAUUUUAUUUUUCUUCGUAUUCCAUCUACACCUCAAAUAAAAACUCCAAAAAAAUAGGGAAAAAAAGGUACGAAAAGUUUGUCCAACAAGCGAUAGAGUGCGGGUUCUAAUCAAUUAAGGUUCCCGAUUACCUCUUGGUGGGAGAAUAUUGAAUUAAAGGAUUAACAAAGGCUUUGCCUACUCCACAUCAUGUAUUAUUUUAAGUUAUUAGAUGCUCAUAUGACUUCACGCCUAAUUAUACGUGAAAUUGAUUUUGUCCUAAACCACCAACCUAUAUUUUUUUCAUUUAGAAAAUGAAUAAGAUGAAUUAUAGAGUAUCAUUAAGGAUUGUGGUGAAUGAAAUAGGAUCUCUCUACUUUUAAGAGAUACAUUUGCUCCUACCACGAAAUGGUCCAACGGUAAAAAAGAACAAAAAGAGAAGCUUAAAGAAAUGGAAAAGAGGAUAUAAUUAACAAAUAAAGAAAAGGUCACACGCAAAGAUGUACAAGAAGACCAGGUUGUCUUUUACCUUUAUUUUAUACAUAUCCUAAUAGUUCAUAUCUUAUCGUCACCAAGCUUUAAUUAUUUUUUGUAUUAAAGGUUGCAAAAAGAAAAAUAUAAAAGCAAGUCGUUAGCUACUUAUGCCCAACAGCUCAUCAUCUAUUUAUUUUGUACCAACUUCUUUAUUUUCUAUAAAUUAAAUUGAGAUUCUGUACGCCAAUAACAAAAUUUGCAUUUAGAAAAUUAAAUUAUUGACCUAUAAAAUACAUUUUAUCAAAUUUGAUUCUCUACCCUCCUCCUCAAUUUCUUCUCUUUUUCUUUGAGAUGGUAUGGAGCAAAAUACACUCAUGAGGUAAGAUCCAUCCAAUUUUGUCUAAUAUUUAAGUAAUUUUUUGUAUUGAAAUGAUACAACGAGACAUUCAUUUUAGUGUAUUUAAAUUUUCAGUAAAAAUAGUACGGGAUUGUCACGAUCCGAAUUUUUUAGCGUCGGAACCGUGAUGACGCCUAAUAUUGAACCCGCUAGGCAAGCUGACAUUACUGAUUAGUGUAUUCAUUUCCUUUAUCCUUUAACAGUUUAUCAGAUGAUAUUAGAUAAUCUGCGGAAGAACAAAAUUUAACAAUUUAACUUAUUACGAAUACGAAAUUCAUAAUAAAACUCCAUACAAAAUUAGUGUCACGAUCUACUAUAAGUAGUGGUCUGAACAAAAAAAUAUAAAUGUGUAUCAGGAAUAGAUAAAAUGGAAAAAAAGCGGGAUAGAAGGGGACGCCAAGGCUUGCGGACUCUAGCAGGACUACCUCGGGUCUCCAUUGGACUGAAGGAAGCAACCUCUAUCUACGGUCUGAAAGGUCCCAUACUGGGAUUAACACAAAACGUACAGAGUGCAGUAUCAGUACAACUGAGCCCAUGUACUGGUAAGUGUCGAGCCUAACCUCGACGAAGUAGUGACGAGGCUAGGACACGACCAGACAUCAUAACCUAUGCAGUUAAAUAAUAUCCAACGAAAUAAAAAUUAUAGAAUCUGAACAAAAAUUAACGGGAAGGGGCAACAUACUAUGGGUGAUACCAGAAUAAGGAAACACAAAAGUAACGAAAAUGAAACAGUUGCGGCACAUGAACCGAAAAUAGCAAUUAAUCACAGCAAAUGUAAAAUGAAUGCACUGCAUCACCCUUCGUGCUUUUUCUCUCAAUCCUCACCAUGCAAUCACUAAUGAAAAUAUGCACGGCAUCACCCUUCGUGCUUAAUCACUCUUCCUCACCAUAUGAAUAAUAGAAAUGUGCACGGCAUCACCCUUCAUGCUUUAUCUCUCUUCCUCACCAUAUGCAUCAAUAUAAAUAUAAAUAUGCACGGCAUCAUCCUUCGUGCUUUAUCACUCUUCCUCACUGUAUGUAUAAGUAUGAAUGUGCACGGUAUCACCCUUCGUGCUUUAUCACUCUUUCCUCACCCCAAACAUUUAGGAACAACAUCAUCCCGGCAAGGGAAUAAUCAAUAGAAAUAAAUACAUCCCGACAAAGGAAUCAUCAAUUGAAUUAAAUACAUCCCUGCAAAGGAAUUAGUUAUAACCAGUCUCGUUCCAACAGUUAACUUCACAAAAUAAAUCUAAACUCAAGCCAAUACUCAACAAAGGUUAAUUACAAGGAAAAUACUAUAAGUAUCGUUCAACAUGGAUAAUUAUCAGUUUAGGCAUGAAUAGUACAUUAUAGGAAUCCCAACGAUCAGAGUAUAAGACUUACGAGCAUGCUCGAUGUCAAUAUAUAGAUACUCGUCACCACACAUAUACAUCAUACACGAUACUAACACGUAGCAAAUAAGAAACCACACAUAUUCUCUCAAGCUAAGGUUGGACCAAACACUUACCUCGGAUUCCACGGCCAAACUCAAGCCUCAAAUACCGCUUUUCCUCUAGAUUUCACCUCCAAUUCACUUGUAUCUAGCCCUAAUUAAUUUAACAAUACCAAUAAGUGCUAAAGAAUUCAACUCCAAUGCUUAAUUAUAAGUUUUCUAUCAUUUUCCCCAAAAAGUCAAAAAAUCAACCUCGGAUCUGCUUGGUCGAAACUCGAGGUUCGAAUCAAACCCCGAUUACCCAUUCACCUCCAAGCUUGGAUAUGCAAUUAUUUUUGAAAUCCAAUCUCAAUUUGAGAUCUAAAUUCCAAAAUUUUGAAAUUCCCAAAUUUCACACAAAAACACUCAAUUUCCCAUGGAAAUCCAUAGAUUUUAUGAUGAAAUCUUGUAAAAAGAUGAAGUAGAUUUAAAGAAAUGAUUUAGAAGUUGUUUACCUAAGAUUUGGGGAAGAACGUUUCUUUGAAAAUUGCCUAUGGGAGCUUAGGGUUUGAAAAUUUGGAAGAAAGAGUUGAAUCCCGUCAAAACCUAUUUUUGAGUAGUUGCAGGUAUCACAUUUGUGAUCAGAGGCUCACAAUUGCAAAGAUUGGCCUGACCUGUUGCCUUCGCAAAUGUGAAUCAGUGUUCGCAAUUGCGGCCUCUACUCUUGUCUCAUUUGAGACUCUGAACUUUGCAAAUGCGAAGGUCCCCUGCCCAGCCCAGUCAUCGCAAAUGUGAUAGUCCUUCGCAAUUGCGGUGCUCACAUUUGCGAGCCAGGCUUCCUUCCAGACAUACAACACACCACCAUUUUUUUCUAAGUUCAAAACACUCUUGACCCUAUCCAAAGCUCCCACGAGCGCUCGGGGCUCCCAAUCAUAUAGGCAUGCAAGUUCAAAAAUAUCAUACGGACUUGAUCAUGCGAUCAAAUCAUCAAAAUAACAUCAACAACUACAAAUUUGGCAUCAAAAUCAAUGAAAUUCUCAAGAACAUCUAAAGUUACUAUUUUCACAACUGAGGGUUCGAUUUAUAUCAAAUCAAGUCCGAUUCUUACCAAAUUUUACAAAUCGACUUAAACAUAUUUAUGACAUGUACUGAGCUUAGGAAUCAAAACACGGGUCUGAUACCAUUGUAUUCUAUCAUUACUCAAUUUGCAAACUUCUUAUAUUUUUCAGUUAAUUAAUUUUCUUCAAAAUUUAUUUUCGGGCUAGGGACCUCAGAAUUCAAUUCUAGGUAUACACCCAAGUCCAAUAUUUUUCUACGGACUCUUCUGGACCGUCCAUUUACGGGUCGAGUCUGUUUACCCAAAAUAUUGACUAAAGUCAAUUUAAAUUCAAAUUCAAAGGAAAAUUGGCAUUUCUCACAAAUUUUCACAUAAGGGCUUUCUGAAAGCGCGCUCGGACUGCGCAUACAAAUUGAGGAGAGAGAAAAUGAGAUCAUGAAGGACUCGGAACACCGGAUUGGGUUCUAAAAUAUGAGAUGGCCUUAUGGGUCAUCACAUUCUCCAGAUCUAAAACAACCAUUUGUCCUUGAACAUACAUAGAAAAGUACCUGAAGCGGGAAAAAGAUGGGGAUAUCAGCUUCGCAUAUCAAACUCGGAUUCCUAAGUCGCUGACUCAACAAGAUGACCUCUCCACUACACACGAAUUGAGGGGAAAUUAUUUGAUCUCAACUGACAAGACUGCCAAUCUAGAAUCCUUGUCUAAAUUAAUAGUGCUAAACUCAAACACGUGGGAUGGAUCACUGUGAUACUUCUGAAGCAUGGACACAUGAAACACCGGAUGCACAAUUCAUAUACUUAGCGACAAUGCAAGUCUGUAAGCCACAUCUCCCACUUGAUCAAGAAUAUCAAAAGGCCUGAUGAACCUAGGGCUUAGCUUGUCCUUCUUCUCAAAUCUCAUCAUGCCCUUCGUAGGCGACACCCGAAGCAACACCCGGUCUUCAACCAUGAAUGGAGCAUCAAGAACCUUAUGGCCGGCAUAACUCUUUUGCCUGGACUGAGCUGUAUAAAGCCUAUCCUGAAUGAUUGUAACCUUGUCCAAGGCAUCUGAACUAUAUAUGUACCCAACAACCGAGCCUCUCCGGCCCAAUCCACCAAACAUGCGACCGACACCGCCUACUAUAUAAUGCUUUGUAGGGAGCCAUAUGGAUGUUCGACUAGUAACUAUUUUUUAAGGAAAACUCUGCUACUAGCAAGAACUGUUCCCAAGAACUCCAAAGUCAAUUGCAUAUGCUCGGAGCAUAUCCUCCAAACCUAAAUAGUACGCUCGGACUGACCGUCCGUCUGAAGAUGAAAUAUUGUGCUCAACUCAAACCGUGUACCCAAAUCAUGCUGCGCUGGCCUCCAGAAAUGUGAGGUAAACUAUGUACCUUGAUCAAAAAUGAUAGACACGGGCACACCAUGAAGAUGAACGAUAUUACGUAUAUAAAUCUCUAUCAACCGCUCAGAAGAAUAGGAAGCCAUCACAGGAAUAAAAUGCAUUGACUUAGCCAGCCUAUCCAUAAUAACCCACACUAUAUUGAACUUCCUAUGAGUUUGUAGGAGUCCAACAACAAAAUGCAUAGUGAUAUGCUCUCAGUUCGACUCAAGAAUCUCAAUCUUCUGAAACAAACCACCAGGUCUCCGAUGCCCGUACUUUACUUGCGUACAAUUGAAACACCGAGCUACAUAUGCAAUAAUAUCCUUCUUCAUCCUUCUCCACCAAUAAUACUGCCGCAAAUCUUGGUACAUCUUAUUAGCGCUCGAAUCUCAUCAUGCCCUUCAUAGGCGACACCCGAAGCAACACCUGGUCAUCAACCAUGAAUGGAACAUCAUGAACCUUAUGGCCGGCAUAACUCUUUUGCCUAGACUGAGCUGUACGAAGUCUAUCCUGAAUGAUUCUAACCUUGUCCAAGGCAUCUGAACUAUAUAUGUACCCAACAACCAAGCCUCUCCGGCCCAAUCCACCAAACAUGCUACCGAUACCGCCUACCAUAUAAUGCUUUGUAGGGAGCCAUCUGGAUGCUCGACUGGUAACUAUUUUUCUAAGGCAAACUCUGCUACUAGAAAGAAUUGUUCCCAAGAACCUCCAAAGUCAAUAGCACAUGCUCGGAGCAUAUCCUCCAAAACCUGAAUAGUACGCUCGGGCUGACCGUCCGUCUGAAGAUGAAAUAUUGUGCUCAACUCGAACCGUGUACCCAGAUCAUGCUGCACUGCCCUCCAGAAAUGUGAGGUAAACUAUGUACCUCGAUCAAAAAUUAUAGACACGGGCAAACCAUGAAGAUGAACGAUCUUACGUAUAUAAAUCUCUAUCAAUCGCUCAGAAGAUUAGGAAACCACCACAGGAAUGAAAUGCACUGACUUAGUCAGCCUAUCCAUAAUAACCCACAUUGUAUUGAACUUCCUAUGAGUUCGUGGGAGUCCAACAACAAAGGGCAUAGUGAUAUGCUCUUAGUUUGACUCAAGAAUCUCAAUCUUCUGAAAUAAACCACUAGGUCUCUAAUGCCCGUACUUUACUUGCGUACAAUUCAAAAACCGAGCUACACAUGCAACAAUAUCCUUCUUCAUCCUUCUCCACCAAUAAUGCUGCCGCAAAUCUUGGUACAUCUUAUUAGCGCCUAGAUAAAUAGAUUUUAAGAACUAUGAGCCUCCUCUAGAAUCAACUCACAAAGUCUAUCCACAUUAGGCACACAAAUAUGAACUUGCAUCCUCUAAACUCCAUCAUCUCUGAUAGUAACCUGCUUGGAACCUCCAUGCCGCAUUAUGUUUCUAAGGACAAGCAAAUGAGGAUCAUUAUACUGCUUAUCUCGGAUACGCUCAAAUAAUGAAGAAUGGGUGACUAUGCAAGAUAGAACACAGUUGGGAUCAUAAACAUCCAACCAUGCAAACUGAUUGGCUAAAGCCGAAACAUCCAAGGCAAACGGCCUCUUACCGACCGGAAUAUAUGCAAGGCUGCCCAUACUGGCUGACUUCCUACUCAAAGCAUCAACCACUAUAUUGGCCUUCCCCAGAUGAUACAAGAUGAUGAUAUCAUAGUCUUUCAAUAGCUCCAACCACCUUCUCUUCCUCAAAUUGAGCUCCUUUUUCUUGAACAAAUAUUGUAAGCUCUUAUGAUCUUUGAACACCUCACAUGACACGCCAUAUAAAUAAUGCCUCCAAAUCUUCAGUGCGUGAACAAUGGCUGCUAGCACCAAAUCAUGAACUGGAUAAUUCUUCUCAUGAAUCUUCAACUGCCAUGAAGCAUAUGUAAUAACCUUGUCGUUCUGCAUCAACACCUCACCAAGUCCAAUAUGAGAUACAUCACAAUAUACUGUAUAUGGCCUUGAACCCAUGGGCAAUACCAACACCAGUGUCAUGGUCAAUGCUGUCUUGAGCUUCUGAAAGCUCGCGUCACACUCGUCUGACCACCUGAAAUGGGAACCUUUCUGGAUUAUCCUGGUCAUCGGGGCUACAAUGGAUGAAAACCCCUCCACAAACUGAUAGUAAUAGCCCGCCAAAUCCAAGAAACUCCAGAUCUCUGUAGUUGGUGUGGGUCUAGGCCAGUCCUUGACUACCGUAAUUAUCUUAUGGUCCACUUGAAUACCUUAUGUUGAUACAACAUGACCCAAGAAUGCUACUGAACUCAACCAAAACUCACAUUUUGAAAACUUAACAUACAACUGACAAUCUCUCAAAAUCCGAAGAACAACUCGAAAAUGUUGCUCGUGCUCCUCCCGGCUGUGCGAAUAGAUUAAAAUAUCAUCAAUGAAUAUUAUCAUGAAAGAAACCAAAUAAGGAUUGAACACUCAAAUUAUAACAUCCAUGAAAGUCGUUGGGGCAUUUGUUAAUCCGAAUGACAUUACAAAGAACUAAUAAUGCUCGUACCGAGUAACGAAAGUUGUCUUAGUCACAUUGGAUGCCCUAAUCCUCCACUGGUAGUAGCCAGACCUCAAAUGAAUAUUUGAAAAUACCUUGGCACCCUAAAGUUGAUCGAUCCUCGAAAAUGGAUACUUGUUCUUGAUGGUGACUCAACUACUGAUAAUCUAUGCACAUCCUCAUCGACCCAUCCUUCUUCUUAACGAACAGCACUGGCGCACCCCAAGGAGAGACACUAGGUCUAAUAAAGCCUUUAUUCAGCAAGUCUUGCAGUUGUUCUUUUAAUGCUUUCAAUAUGGAGAAAUAGAAAUGGGCUGAGUGCCCCGAGCCAAAUCCAUGCAAAAGUCAAUGUCCCUAUCGAGUAGCAUCCCGGGCAAGUCUGAAGGAAAUACCUCUGUAAACUCAUGAACAGGGGGCACAAAAUCCAUAGACGGAGCCUCAGCACUAGAAUCACGAACAUACGCCAAAUAGGCCAAACAUCCCUUGUCAACCAUUUGUCGAGCUUUCAUAUAUGAGAUAACCCUGGUGGUAGAAUGACCAAGAGUCCCUCUCUACUCCAAACAAGGCAACCCCGACAAUACUAAGGUCACAGUCUUGGCAUGAUAGAACAAUAUAGCAUGAUAAGGUGACAACGAAUCCAUUCCCAAAAUGACAUUGAUGUCUACCAUAUCAAGAAGUACGAGAUCUACACGGGUCAUAAGACCCCUAAUAACAAUCACGCAAGCACAAUAAACAUGAUUUACCACAACAUAAUUACCCACCGUGUAGGCACGUACAUGAGUAGUCAAAGAAUCACGAGCCACAACCAGAUAUGGGAAAAAAUAAGAUGAUACAUAGGAAUAUAUGGACCUUAGAUAAAAAAAAACUGAAGCAUCUCUACUGCAAUUUGAAACCGUACCUGUGAUAACUGCAUUGGAGGCCUCAGCCUCAGGUCUGGUGAGAAUAGCAUAACAUCAGGGUUGGGCUCCACGACUUUGAGCUACAUCCCUAGGAUGGCCUCCUGCCUGGCCUCCACCUCCAAAUGUCUGACCUCUACCUCUAACAGCCUGACCUCUACGUCUAACACCUCGACCCCUACCUCUAGCUGGCAGAGCGGGCGGUAGAACACCCGGUGCUAGAACCAUAGCACGAGAACCCUGGUGCUGAGAAUUGCUCGCAGAUCGAGGGAAAAAACUAGCAAUAUGACUCAAAUCUCAACAAAUGUAAUAAGAUUUUGGCUGUUGAGACUACUGACCCUGAAACUGACCCCGACGGCCUAAAUAACCACCCUAAAAACUCUGGAGCGGAGGUGUACUAAUAGGAGCUGGUGGUGUACUGUAGGGAAACCGAUCAGAAUACCGCAUAUAAGAACCACAACCACCUACAGCACCAUGAGAAGCCUGAAGUUCUGAAUGAAACAACCUUGGAGGAUGGCCUCUACCAAAAGAAUCCCUGCCUCUAAACACGGAACCACUGAAUAUGUCUUAAGGAUGAGGUCUAUUAUUAGACCCGUAAUUACUCCCCUGAGCUAGAACCAUCUCAACCCAUCUGGCCACAUUGGUCGCAUUCUGAAAAGAAAUCUUGGUCCCUAUCUUCUUAGCCAUCUGCAAUCUAAUAGGCUGAGUGAGUCCCUCAAUAAACCUCCUUACCAUAUCUCUCUCUUUGGAGGAGUAUCAGAAAAGAAUGAUGAGUCAAAUAAUUAAACCUCGUCUCCUACUGGGUAAUAGUCAUAGAACCCUGCUGAAGAAGCUCGAACCACUUGCGGUAUUCCUCUCUUUGAGUGAAAGGAAGGAACUUCUCGAGAAAUAGCUGCAAGAACUUGUCCCAAGUGAGAUCUGGUGACCCAGCUAGUCUAGCCAACAAAUAAUUUCUCUACCAUUUGUUGGUGAAACCUAACAAAUGAAAAGCAGUAAAGUCGACCCCAUUGGUCUCCACUAUCCCCCUGUUCCGAAGAACCUCAUGAAAUCUUUCCAAAUAACAAUGAGAUCCUCUGAAGAUGUAACGCCAUAGGUAGUAGUAAAGAGCUUGAUGAACCUGUCCAAUCUCCACAAAGCGUCUGAAGACAUAGCUGGCCUAUUACCAGGCUUAAUUGCACACCGGUAGAACUACCCUAACUACCUGAGCUGCUGGAGUUUGAAACUAGAGAGUUAUCUGCUCCGGAGUGCGAGUAGCGGGAGUCUGUGCUCCUCCCCCAGGCUGAGAGACGACGACCGGUGCCACAUAAAGUAUGCCUACCUAAGUGACACUCUCCAUAAGGCCCACUAGACGGACCAGAGCAUCUUGGAGUACCGAGGUAGCAAUGAACCCCUCUUGGACCUGAGCUGGGCUCGCCGGAACUAUCUGGGUCAAAACCUCUUCAUCAAAAUCUACCUGAGGCUCCACCGCUGGUGCUGCUUCUCUAUGCUGAGCUCUGCUCUUGACUCGGCCUCUAGUACUGCCUCGGCUUUCUUCUCUACCCCCUCAUAGGAGCUGCCGCUGGGGGCUUAGGCUAUUGAUCAACUGAUGAAGCGGUAUGAGUUCUCGCAAUCUGUGAAAGAAUAGAGUAGAAGUUCAAUUAUCAUUGAGAAAUCAACCGCACGACAGAGCCAAGUUGAAGUGAAAUUGUUCCUAACUCUGUAGCCUCUGGGGAUAAACACAGACGUCUUUGUACAGAUACCUCAGCCUCUACUAAUCUUGUUCGUGAAUUGUGAGACCUAAGCAACCUAGAGCUCUGAUACAAACUUGUUAUGAUCCAAAAUUUUCCACCGGCGGGAUCGUGAUGAUGCCUAACAUUGAAUCCGUUAGGCAAUCAAACAUUAUUGAUUACUUUAUCCAUUUCCUUUAUCCUUUAACAGUUUACUAGAUGAUAUAAGAUAAUAUGUAGAAGAAUAGAAUUUAACAAUUUAACUUAAUAUGAAUAAGAAAUUCAUAAUAAAUAUCCACCUAGAACUAGUGUCACAAUCUCAUGGACUGUCUACGAAUAUUACAAAUAGUAUGCGGAACAAGAAAAUACAAAUGUGUCUCAUGAAUAGAUAAAAUAUAAAAGAAGCGAGAUAGAAGGGGACGCCAAGGCGUGCGGACGGCUGCAAGAUUACCUCGGUUCUCUUCUACACUGAAGGCAUCAACAUCUAUCUAUGGUCUCUAGGGUCCAGUGCCGGAAUCUGCACAAAAAAGUGCAGAAUUUAUUAUUAGUACAACCGACCCCAUGUACUGGUAAGUGUCAAGCCUAACCUCGGUAAAGUAGUGACGAGGCUACGACAUGACCAAACAUCAUAACCUAUAGAGUUAAACAAUAUCUAAUGGAAUAACAGGUAUAGAAUCUAAGCAGAAAUUAAUAGGAACAUGGAACAUGCUAUGGGGGAUGCCAGAAUAAGGAAACACAAAAGUAAUGGAAAUGAAACAGUUGAGGCAUCUGAACCGAAAACAACAAUUAAUCACAGCAAACAUAAAAUGAAUGCACGACAUCACUCUUCGUGUUUUUACUCUCAAUCCUCACCAUGCAAUAAAUAACAAAAAUAUGUACGGCAUCGCCCUUCAUGAUUUAUAGCACUUCCUUACCAUAUAAAUAAAAGAAAUAUGCACUGCAUCAUCCUUCGUGUUUUAUCUAUCUUCCUCACCAUAUGCAUCAAUAUAAAUGUAAAUGUGCACGGCAUCGCCCUUCAUGCUUUAUUACUCUUUCCUCACCCAAACAUUUAGGAACAAUAACAUCCCAGCAAGGAAAUCAAUAAUAGAAAUAAAUACAUCCUGGCAAGGGAAUCAUCAAUGGAAUUAAAUACAUCCCUGCAAGGGAAUCAGCAAUAACCAACUCCGUUCCAAUAGUUAACUUCACAAAAUGAUUCUCAACUUAAGCCAAUACAUAACAAAGGUCAAAUUACUAGGAAAAUACCACAAGUCUCGCUCAACAUGGAUAAUCAUCAGUUUAGGCAUUAAUAGUACAUAGUAGGAAUCCUAACUAUCACAGUAUAAGACUCACGGGCAUGUUCGAUGCCAACGUAUAGAUACUCGUCGCCAUACCUAUAUGUCGUACAUAACACUAACAUGUUGCAAAUAAGACACCACACAUAUUCCCUCAACCUAAGGUUAGACCAACAUUUACCUCGAAUUCCAUGGCCAAACUCAAGCCUCAAAUACCUCUUUCCCUCUAGAUUUCACCUUCAAUUCACUUGUAUCUAGCCAUAAUUAACUUAACAAUACCAAUAAAUGCUAAAUAAUUCAACUUCAAAGCUUAAUUAUAAGUUUUCUAUCAUUUUUCCCAAAAAGUAAAAAAUUUGACCCUGGGUCCGCUUGGUCAAAACUCGAGAUUCGAAUCAAAACCUAAUUACCCAUUCACUCCCGAUCCCGAAUAUGCAAUUGGUUUUUGAAUAUAACCUCAAUUUGAGGUCUAAAUUCCUAAAUUUCACCAAAAAACACUCAAUUUCCUAUUAAAAUCCCUAGAUUUUAUGAUGAAAUUUUGUAAAAAGAUGAAGUAGAUUAAAAGAAAUGAGUUAGAAGUUGUUUACAUAUGAUUUGGGAAGAACUUUUUUUGUGAAAAUCGCAUAUGGGAGCUUAGGAGUUUGAAAAUUUGAAAGAAUGAGUUGGAAUCCCGUCAAAACCUGUUUUAAGCAGUUGUAGGUAUCACAUUUGCGAUAACAGGUUCGCAAUCGCAAACUCGCAAAAUGCGACCAAAGCUUCACAAUUGUGAAGAUUUGCUUGACCUGAUGCCUUCGCAAAUGCGAACUAGUGUUCCCAAUUGCGGCCUCUGCUCUUGUCGCAUUUGUGACUCUAAUCUUCGCAAAAGCGAAGGUCCCCUGCCCAGCCCAGUCAUCGCAAUGCAAUGGUCCUUCACAAUUACGGUGCUCGUAUUUGAGAGCCAGGCUUCGCAAUUGCGAAGCCUGCAAACCUGGAACACACUAGCAGUUUUUUUUCUAAGUUCAAAACACUCUGUGGCCUAUCCAAAACUCACCCGAGCCCUCAGGGCUCCAAACUAAACAUGCACGCAAGUCCAAAAAAAAUCAUACGGACUUGUUCAUGCGAUCAGAUCAUCAAAAGAAUUUGGCAUCAAGAUCAAUGAAAUUCUCACGAACACCUAAAGUUACUAUUUUCACAACCGAGGGUCCGAUUUACAUCAAAUCAAGUACGAUUCUUUACCAAAUUUUAAUAAGCCAACUUAAACAUUAUUUAAAAUUUGUAACGGGCUUCGGAAUCAAAACAUGGUCCUGAUACCAUCAUAUUCCAUCAUUACUCAAUUUUCAAACUUCUUAUAUAUUUCAGUUAAAUAAUUUUCUUCAAAAAUUAAUUUCUCGGGCUAAGGACCUCGAAAUUUAAUUCCAGGCAUACGCCCAAGUCCCAUAUUUUAUUACAAACCCUCUAGGCCAUCAAUUCAUGGCAGCGGAUCUGUUUUACCUACAAUAUUGGUCGAAGUAAACUUAUAUUCAAAUAUAAUGGCAAAAUUGGUAUUUUCCUCAAAUUUUCAUAUAAGAGCUUUCCUGAAAUGCGUCCGGACUAAGCACGCAAAUCAAGAAGAUAGAAAAAUGAGGUCUUGAAGGCCUCAGAACUCCGGAUUGGGUUCUAAAAUACGAGAUGACCUUUUAGGUCGUCAGAGGGCUAGCCAAUUUUUGGGCUAGUCAUUCAAGAAUAGCCAGCGUUUGCAAAGUCAUUAAAAAAUAACCAUUAUUUUGCUGCAACACGGAAAGUUCCAGCAUAAUAUACUGGAGAUCGGUACACCAAUAUAUGAACUUUCAACAUAUUAUGUUUGAACUGCAACACACAGAAAGUUCCAGUAUAAUAUAUUGGAGAUUGGAGCACCGGUACUCCAAUAUCCAAUAUAUUAUUGUGGAUCGAUAUAUCAUACUGGAACUUCAGUAUAAUAUAUUGGAGUUUCAAUAUAAUAUACUGAGUUCCAGUAUAUUAUGCUGAAAUUUCAGUAUAUUAUACUGGAGUAUUUUUUCGGGUUUUGAACAAUAUUUUCGUUCAAAUUUAUCUUUACAUGAACAAUGGUUAAAUUUUAAUUACUUUUGAAAUUGUGGCUAUUUUUGAAUAACCACUUGUAAAUCUAGCUAUUUUUAAAUUUCUCCUAAAUUUCCACUCUUUGAUAAGUCAAAUGCCUACCAUCAAAGGAUGUGGUGCAGUGGAUGAGGCUAUUCCUCCUUAACCAGAGAUCUCGAAUUCGAGCCUUGGGUAUGAAAAUAUCCUUGGUAGGGAGCACUAUCCCCCAAAUACGGUCCUACGCGGCGUGAAUUCAGAUAUAAUCGAGCUCUAAUGUGGGUAUCGAACACCUGGUGGGAAACAAAAAAAAGUCAAAUGCUUCGGAAAGCCAUGAAACAAAAUUAUCUAAUGCUUCCAACUUGAGUUUUCACCUAAAAAUUUCCAAGUAAAAAAAUUGCAUUUAUGAAGUAUUAAUUUCACUAAGCUUAAAGGCUUCUAAAACAAUUCGCGUUAAAUUGAAAAUGGCAAAAAAAAAAAAAAACAAUUGACAAUGGCAAAUUGAAGAUAAGAAAGCGAAUAACGCCUCAAAAAGACAAAAGGGAAAAAGAGAUCAUGAAAAAUGUAAGAACUGAAAUUUCACCUGUCAAAGGUUAAGUAACAUUUAAGCGGUGAAACUAAACUUCUUCCCCAAUCAAGAAAAGCCAAGUUGCACAUAUCAAGCAUGGAGAAUCCUGAGGGACAUUUGAUUUCAAUUUAAAUAUGAAUUGGACUUUUGAACAAACAUACAAGUUGAUGCCUAUCUCCUAACCAACCAAAAUUUUGAAAUUAGAGUAGUUGAAUUUUUAUCUUUGUAUGUAUUAACUAAUAUAGUAUUAAAUUUCUCGUACUAACGAUAUAUUCUUUUUAUUCUUUAAAUUUUAACACAGCAACUUUCAUAGUUCCAAAAUAAUUAACCAUUUGGUAGUUUAGAUGCUUGCUUAUAUAUAUAUAUAUAUAUAUAUAUAUAUAUAUAUANNNNNNNNNNNNNNNNNNNNNNNNNNNNNNNNNNNNNNNNNNNNNNNNNNNNNNNNNNNNNNNNNNNNNNNNNNNNNNNNNNNNNNNNNNNNNNNNNNNNNNNNNNNNNNNNNNNNNNNNNNNNNNNNNNNNNNNNNNNNNNNNNNNNNNNNNNNNNNNNNNNNNNNNNNNNNNNNNNNNNNNNNNNNNNNNNNNNNNNNNNNNNNNNNNNNNNNNNNNNNNNNNNNNNNNNNNNNNNNNNNNNNNNNNNNNNNNNNNNNNNNNNNNNNNNNNNNNNNNNNNNNNNNNNNNNNNNNNNNNNNNNNNNNNNNNNNNNNNNNNNNNNNNNNNNNNNNNNNNNNNNNNNNNNNNNNNNNNNNNNNNNNNNNNNNNNNNNNNNNNNNNNNNNNNNNNNNNNNNNNNNNNNNNNNNNNNNNNNNNNNNNNNNNNNNNNNNNNNNNNNNNNNNNNNNNNNNNNNNNNNNNNNNNNNNNNNNNNNNNNNNNNNNNNNNNNNNNNNNNNNNNNNNNNNNNNNNNNNNNNNNNNNNNNNNNNNNNNNNNNNNNNNNNNNNNNNNNNNNNNNNNNNNNNNNNNNNNNNNNNNNUAUAUAUAUAUAUAUAAAAUUUGUAUACACUAAACGUAAUUUGAUAACCUAGAAAAAAAAAAUUGAACGUGUCACAACUAAAUUCCUAUAAUUUAUAACUAAUCCUUUUCAUUCUUCGACUAUAUACUUAUGGAUUAAAUUUAUACACUAAAUGUGAGAUGAUAACCUAGAAAGAUGAUGUUGUAAUUAACUUAUCACAACUGAAUUCUUAUAAUCUAAAACACUCCUCAUUCCUAUACUAUUGAUCAUUCUUUGGUAUACUUGCUUAUGAAUUCAAACAUGAAUACACUAAGGGGUCGUUUGGUCUGAAUACAGUUUAUACUGUGAUAAGUUAUGUUGGGAUUAGUUAUAUCGGAAUUAUUUAUUCUGGUAUUGUUUUUUAUUCACUGUUUGGUACAUUGUAAUUAAAAAUGAUAAUUACAUAAUUUCUAAGGAGGUACAAGUUAUCACGGCACUAAUUACCCCACCCUCUAUAAUGUAUAAAUUAUUAUUAAUUUUAAUCCAGAAAUAACUUAUACCGGAUUUGCUAAUCAAACAAAGUAUUAUUUUGGUAUUAAAUUUUUAACCAACACUAUAUUUACUUAUAUCUCAUACCAAACGGCCCUUAAAUAUGAGUUGAUAACCUAGAAAUAAGAUAGUACUUCAUCUGUUCUAGUUUAUGUGAAACUAUUAAAAAGAAUGACCACUUUUUAAAUUUGGUAACAAUUAAGCUUAAACUUACAACUCUACCAUUAAUGAGAAACUUUUAUAACCAUACAAAUACCCUAGGCACUUUUUGACUUGUUUAGGACCACAAAUUUCAAAAUUCUUCAUUUUUUCUUAAACAUCAUGCCCAUUCAAAUAUGUUCACAUAAAUUAGAACGGAUAGAGUAAUAAUUAAAGUGUUACAACCAAAUUGUACAGUUUGAACUUCUUAAGUAUGUUUAACUUACCCUUCGAGGUUGCCCAGUUGAUUUGGAGGGUAGUAAUCCAUAUGGAUGGCCUGGGAUCUAGAUCCCCCUUCAAUGUCUUCUGGGUAGAACUUGUGGCACCGGUUAUUACACAGGUGAGGUUUACUCAGUGCGACCAAAGUGUUCACAAAGAGUGUUUACCUGAAUAACAGAAAAUGUUGCAGAGAUUGUAGCAGUUGCGAAUUUACAAAAUUAAUUCUCUAAUUAUAGUAGUUUAUAGGUAUCAAAACCCAUACACCAAAAACGUAUUAAUAUAAGUACAUAAAGUAUGUUAGACGUAAGAAUUGAAAUGCCUAAAAAAGGCAGAGCAAGUUGGACGAAACAGUCGGUCCACAUUACAACUCAUCCAAUGUCUUAUCACUAUUCCAAGAAAAAGUCUUCUCUUCCCAUUAACAAAAUUCUUCAUUCAUUCUUUGAUUUGUUCAACUUUUGAUGUUCAUCUAAUGUACGAUUCAAUUCAACAUUGUAUUCGUUCAGAGUUCAAGUACAAAAAUCAUUAGAAUAUGGCAGUUUCACCUGAAGAAUCUUUCCCGCCAAGAAAACGGCGGCCGUCGGCGAACUCCUUCGUCGCCCCCAAUCUCUCCGAUCACAAUCUCCUCCAAUCACUUGUCCUCUUAUCAUCAGAAAUCUCAACUCUUCAACCUUUACUAUUUCUCUUGAAAAAAAACACUUCCUCUAUAAUCAGGAAAUCAAAGCUUUUAUCAAUUUUAUUCCAGGAAAUUAACGGUAGAGAUUGUAGCAGUUCAAACGAUCCCACUACAUCACGACAUGUAACCGGCUUUCCACCGUCCGCUGUAUUAUGCUUCGACGAAUUGUACAUAGUUUUACAGCGAAUCAAAACAUUACUUGAAGAUUGCCGUAGUUGUAGUAAGAUGUGGCUACUUAUGCAAGUUGAGGUGUUUUCUAAUGCUUUUCAUGAACUUACGCUUGAACUGGCCAUUUUACUGGAUAUUCUUCCUGCUAAAAAGCUGAUACUGAACGACGACGUUCAGGAAUUGUUGAUUCUCGUUAUGAAGCAGUGCUCUGACAAUUCAGCUUAUGUUGAUCCAAAGGAUCAAGAUUUGCGAUCUCAAAUUGUUGAAAUGCUCGACAGGAUAGAACGAGAAAUCGUUCCUGAUCAAUCUAAAUUGGCCGAGGUUUUCGAUAAAUUGACUUUGCGUGAUUCUAUGAGUUGUAGAGAUGAAAUAGAGUUAUUGGAAGAGGAAAUUCAAAGCCAGACGGACGAGAAAUCGAAAUCUGAUAUCAUCGCGUUGAUCGGAUUUGUACGCUACUCUAAAUGCGUGUUAUACGGUGGUUCGACGCCGAGAACCAAUUCCCGACGGCGGCGGACGGCGGCGGAUGUUAGUGUUCCAGCGGAUUUCCGGUGUCCGAUUUCGCUUGACUUGAUGAGAGACCCUGUGGUGGUCUCCACGGGACAAACGUACGACCGCAGUUCAAUAACCCUUUGGUUCGAAUCGGGUCAUACCACGUGUCCUAAAACGGGUCAAACCCUGACCCACACGGAAUUAACACCAAAUUCGGCGUUGAAGAAUUUGAUAGCUAUGUGGUGCAGAGAACAGAAAAUUCCGUUUGAGUCAACGGAGUUGAAUGCUAAAUCUAACGGUAUUGUUACCAACAAAACGGCAUUGGAAGCCACGAAAAUGACAGUGUCAUUUUUGAUCAACAAGCUGAAGGCGUCGCAAUCUGUGGAGACGGCUAAUCGGCUUGUUCAUGAGCUUCGCGUUUUAGCCAAGACGGACUCGGAUAGCCGAGCCUGCAUUGCGGAAGCUUCAGCUUUGCCGUUAUUGGUUAAGCUCUUAGGUUCGGAGCAUCCGAGCCUACAAGUUAACGCCGUUACAACAAUUCUCAAUCUGUCAAUUCUUGAAGCGAACAAGACGAGGAUAAUGGAAACGGACGGAGUUUUAAACGGAGUUAUUGAAGUGUUACGAUCAGGUAGCACGUGGGAGGCAAAGGGAAAUGCUGCAGCAACAAUUUUUAGCUUGACAGGUGUACCACCAUACAAGAAAAUAUUGGCUCGGAAGACACGUGUUGUCAAGGGAUUGAUGGAUUUGGCGCGCGAAGGGCCCACAAAUUCGAAGAGGGACGCCUUAGUGGCAAUUUUGAACUUGGCGGGAGAUAGGGAGGCAGUUGGCAAGUUGAUUGAAGGCGGGGUGGUGGAAAUGGUAGCAGAGAUUAUGGAUGGACUAAUGGAAGAGGCAGUGACGAUUCUUGAAGUGGUGGUGAAGAAGGGUGGAUUGGUAGCUGUAGCGGCCGCGUAUCCGUUGAUUAAAAAGCUGGCCAUAGUAUUGAGGGAUGGCACGGAUAGAGCUAGAGAAAGUGCAGCCGCGACCCUAGUGAACAUGUGCCGGAAAGGGGGAUCGGAUAUGGUGGCAGAGCUAGCGGCAGUUCAAGGGAUUGAGAGGGUGAUUUGGGAAAUAAUGGGAAUGGGAACAGGACGGGCUAGAAGGAAAGCAGCAACUUUGUUGAGAGUUCUAAGGAGAUGGGCUGCUGGAUUGGAUGCAGAAGUGGCAUCAGGGGCUUAUUCAGAUGUGAAUAUGAAUACUACUUCAACCAGAAUAGUAUUGCCAGGUUAAUGUUUUUUUUCUAUUUUUUUCUUUCAAAUAUGGAAAAAUUUGUUCCUUUUUUUAAAUUUUGUUUCAGAAAAUCUGAACAUGAAACUGUAACAUUUGAGUCAACGUCCUUUGUGGAUUGUAUAAUCGUUUAUACCUCUGUGAAGUUGAAGAAAAAGAGAAGUAGUUUCUACCUUUAUUGAUAAAUGUGCCAUACGGCUGUGAAUAAUUUUGUUAUACACAUUUUGGUGUGAUCAUUUUAUAUUUUAUAGAGAGGUUGCUACAGCACUGAGGGCACUGAGAUCUUUAAGGAUCUUGAACUUUAGUGUGCCAAUUCAUAUUGAAAGCUAAUUACUCUAUAGUUGGUGUAGUUAGUUUAUGUUGAGCUUCAUAGAUGAGUAUUUUCUUACAGCAUUUUUAGAAACACACUAAUGAUCUUAGCAGAGGACUUACCUUUUGAUAUGAUUAAAAUGACAUGAAUCACAAAAUAAACCGUGAACGCCAUUAUCUUACAUUAUGAACUACUAAUCCUAAAUGGGAGCGACAUGCUAGCACAAUAUUAUAAAGGCUUCCUGGUACAAGAAACACUCCGCAGCGUUAUAAAAAGAAAUAUUGGGUAGCUAGCUACAAAAGAGCAGGAAGCUGUACUUCAUUGGACACCCUUAAUCCAGAUGAGAAGACUUUGGAUCUCUUGAAUUCUUUAUUUACCAUCUUCUACAAUACUCAUUAAACAGAUCCAGUUCAUAGACAAUAGAGAUAUAGAAUGCUGUCCAUCAUGUAACACUCUAUCAACCUUUCCAUGGGAUGUAGAAAGUACAUAUUGUGCAUAAGAAACUUCGGAGAUGCAGAUGAUAACAAGUGUUAAGUUCCAUGGGUAGUUAUUUAUGGUAGUUAUUGUCUGAUAUUAUUGCAUGCUAUUUUAUUUAUGAUUCUUAUNNNNNNNNNNNNNNNNNNNNNNNNNNNNNNNNNNNNNNNNNNNNNNNNNNNNNNNNNNNNNNNNNNNNNNNNNNNNNNNNNNNNNNNNNNNNNNNNNNNNNUGGAGUUACUAAUGCUCUUUUGUUUUUGUUUUUGUUUUUCCUUUCCUUCACUGAGCCGAGGGUCGAUUGGAAACAGUCUCUCUGCCCUUUCAGGUAGGGGGAAGGCCCGUCUACAUAUUACCCUCCUCAAACUCCACUUUGUGGGACUAUACUGGGUAGUUGUUGUGGCUGUAGAUGAUAACAAGAGUUCAAAGGAGAGUCAAAUAAUAUGGGGGACCUUACAAGUCUUGGUACUGGUUUUUUUUGUGUAUCUGGGCUGGUUCUUGAUGGGCCGACUUCAACAUAUCUAGCUAACACCACAAUCACUUGAACAAUGGAUUACUAAAGAAAUCCAUUUGACAACGAAAAAAUAAGUCUUCAGUAAUCAGAGAAGUCUCCUCCAACUUAAUUAAUGUAGAUAUGUUUUGCAGCAUUAGUAUAUACACUUAAAACUUCAGAUAGGAUUUACGACAGUGUAAAGAGUCUUUACAGAUCAGUAAUAUUGUAUUUUUCACACUUGUUAGUACACAGGACUUAAAGACUUGAUAAUUAUCACUGAAGAUAAACAACGUAUAUUCAAGUCCUCAUUGGAUCCUCCUAGUUCUGUUAAAGAAAAGGGAAUUGGUCCUGGAGUUGGAUUGGUAGUAUGAUCAAUAUUGAUCGCAAUAAGCAAAUACUUCUUUUUUUUUAAAAAAAAACAAAAGCUUUUACUUUCUGGGUAUGAAUUCACAGUGAAACUGAAAACCUAGAUAUUAUCCAAUUCCAAUGUAUUUAAAUAUUAUCCAAUUUGUCC